UUUGUUGUUUCUGCUGGGUCUGUAUGUCUCAUUCUGUCUUGGGUGACUUUUUUUUCUGGGAGACACCGCAGGUGAGUAAUUAGUGUUUGCGUCUGCAUGUAGAGAUCUAUGAUUAAACCAACUACUUAAUCAUACCUUCAAGAUCAUGUAAGUUAGAUUUUUGCUGGAAGCUGAGCAAGUGUAAUGGAGUUCAGAUAGGGAAUGCUAUGGGAUUGAUGUAUACGAAUAUAUAUCAUAUAAUCCCUUCUCUAAGUGUACAGACUUCAUAAUUGCUUUUCAGUCCUGAACACUUGAAAUUCAAAACAUGAAAAUUUUAAAAAGUGGUUUUAUCCUGUUUGAGUAGGUGCACUUUUUAUUGUUAUGUUUCCCUUUAAAAAAGCCAAAUGGUGUAUUAAAGGCUGAAUCCUCUUAUAAAUUACACUCUUGAUUCCUUUUUCUCUCUGGUAGAGGCUUUGGCAACAGGAGCCAUCACUAAUGUUGGUUUUGCUUUGUGCUUCAUUGGUUUAGGGCUUCCCUGUGAAAUCCUAGAAUAGUUACUUGACUGUGAUGGCCUUAAGCCAUUAAUAUCUCACAUUGGAGGAGACCAGUGGACAGUGAAGGAUUUAAAUAAAGCGUAGCAGAAGUUACUGGCCAACCGCCAGCCAGGGGACAAGUGGCUUCCCUUAAAAUGACUGAUGAAGCUUGAACAGAGACAUGACUGGAUUAGGUGGUGACUAAGGAGUAAACUGUGGGCUUUUCCUAAGACUUGGACAGUCUUUCUUGCCUCCUAUGUCCAGAAAGGUGAUGUGGUAGAACCUGAUGUACAUGCAAGAGGGGAGAGUCUUCUAAAGAAUCACCACUUAAAAUAAGUUGGUGGUGUUUUGUUUUUGUUUGGUUUUUUUGUUUGUUUGUUUUUAAAAUAAGAUUUUCUUUUUUUUUUUAUUGUGGCAAAGGGAAUUAUAACACUCGACAUACUUGAAAGAAGCAAUGCCAGAAUGCUGUAACAGCUUUAACCUGACUUGAUCUCUACUGUAAUCCCAAAUCCACCAAUCCCCUUUGCCUUGGUUCAUUAUCUCUGAUGUCUGCAAUUUAAAUAUGUUGAAUUAGGUAUUAAUCUUUUUCUAAGUUCCUUCAGUACUGAAGGUCACAGAGUAUUUUAUUUAGUGGCAGGAUUAAAAGUCUAGGUUGCUUUUUAACACAUUUAAAACUUGAAAUCUUCUUUCCAAGGUAAGUUAAAAGAAGCUGGUUUUGGUUUUGUGGUAUUAUGAUUUUUUUUUUCCUGACAUGCUCUCUUUUCUCUCUAUAAAAUGCUUACAGCCUUCCUUGAUGUUUGCUGUUGAUUAGUAUUCAGGUGAGGUAUUGAGUUAGAAUAUUAACAAGAGCUGUAAGACGUGUCUUUUGUACUUUUAUGGUUUCUCUUAAAGAUCAUACAUAAAAGCUGAGCACUGAUAAAAGUUCAGUUGUUUAUCAGAUUUCUGGUAACCUUUGCAAUAAAUGUAUCUGCAUGUAUCCACAAAAAGUUACUAUAAAAUUUCAAGGGAUGAUGAUUUGCAGAUGUAGGGGAGAAAGUAGUUUCUGUAUCUAAAUGAAAGUUUCCAAACUUAAAGGUGGAAUGGAGCAAUAUGUUGACUGGCCUGCUUCACUGGUUUUAAACUGCUGGUUGGAAUUUUAACAGAGGUGCUAGGGAGUUGUGGAUGUAUUAUGCUAGAUAGUUGUGGUCUCUUUGAAAUUGUGCCUGGCAGUGAAUGGAAAUUGCCUCUACCUAUUUAAAGGAAACCUUAAAUUGGUUGCACAGCAAUGUGUGAACUAAAUGUAAGAUUUCUUUUUAAUCCCAAAUGAAUAGCAAGGUAAAGUCCCCUCUGAAACUCCUUUAUCCUCAGCUAAACAUCCCCAGCUGCCUCAGCUGCUUCUCAUGGGACCUAGGUUCCAAACCUUCUGUGGACUUGCUCCAGAACCUCAAUGUCCUUUUUGAAGUGAGGGACCCAGAACUGGAUAUAGGUUUUGAGGUGUCACCAGUGCCAAGUACGGGGAAAGAAUGAGCUUCCUGGUUCUGCUGGCCACACUAUUCCUGAUCCAGCCAGCAUGUCAUUGGCCUUCUUGGCCACCUGGGCACACACUGGCUCAUGAUCAGCUGCUGUCAGUCAACACCACGAUGUCAUGUUCCACUGGGACACUUUCCAGCUACUUUUCCCCCAGCCUGUGGUGCUGUCUGGGCUUCUGACCCCAGGGCAGGACCUGGCACUUCACCUUGUUGAACUCGUACCACUGGCCUUGGCCCACUGAUCCAGCCUGUCCAGAUCCCUCCUGCAGAGCCUUCCUACCCUCCAGCAGAACACAACUCCCAUAGUGUCAUCUGCAAAAUGACUGAGAGUACCCUCGAUCCUCUUGUCCAGAUCAUUGACAAAAGUAUUAAAUAUGACCUGCCCCAAAACUGAUCCCCCUGGGGAGCUGACCGGCCUCCAGCUGAAUGCAACGCCACUCACCACCGCUCUUGGCUUGGCCAUCCAGGAAAUUCUUUUACCCAGUGAAAUCCUGGCCCACCUGAGCCAUGCACAGACAGUUCCUCCAAGAGAAUGCUGUGGGACACAAGUGUCAAAGGCUUUCCUAAAGUGUGGUAGAUGACAUCCACAACCUUGCCUUCAUCUGCCCGGUGGGACACGUUGCAAUAGAAGGAGAUGAGGUUGGUCAAGCAGGGCCUGCCUUGCAAGAACCCCGGCUGACUGGGACUGACAGAGACACUGCUUGCUCUUGUUGUCCUGCAUGCGCUGUGUGAUUGCACCCGAGAUAAUCUAAAUACCAACAUCUAAGGUCAGUUCAUAAAUUUCACAGCUUGGUUUUGUAGCUAUAUCUUCAGGAAAAAAUAACUCUAAUAUAUUGCUGCAAUAUGCAUCUUGUUGCUGGUUGACUAAAGAAUUAAAGAAAAAGUGUUGGAUACUCCUCUGUAAGAAUACUGUUCAUUCUUUUGCAUACAGACCAUUGAAAGAUUGAUUUGGUUAAGAAAUACCAAAACAGAUUUCUUUCAUGAGUUGUGCCAUUCCGUGAGUUCAAUAUAUGUUGCUGGCUCUAGCUAUUAGAGAUGUGUUCAUAAUAGUAGUUACUGAUUUUGAUGGCAAGUUUUACUCGGAGAAGUGCAACUCCUACAUACCAAUGGAAUGCCUAAGUCCUUUACUGUCAAACUUCUUGUCUGUGCUACUUACCUGUUACCAACAUUAUUGCUGCUUCUCUGUUUUCCUGUCUUUUCCUUCCUUAUUUAUUUACUUUACUUUAAUCCAUGACUUUUCUGUAUAACCUGUGAGAAUUUGUUGCUCGUUUGUACCCUCUUUAAUUCUUUCUGUUGCACAUGUGGAUGACUGUAGGCACAUACCACAGGGUAGCAAGAUGCCCACAUUUGACAGUCCAGUGCCAGAAAAUAUGUUGGAUUUUUGGAUAACCAAGGUAAUAGCUAUGAAAUGUCAUGGGCUUUGGUUACAACAAUGAAUGAAACAUAAGAAGAGCUGAGGUGGUGAAAAUUGUAGUGUAGUCCUCAAUGCUCAAUGAAUUGUCAUUUGAGCUGGAUUCAGCUUGGAAGUCUUGGAUCUUAAACCACUGUCAUAGUGUCCUAGCUUCAGGAUAACUGGACUUGUUGGUGGCCUGAAAACAAAAUGCAAGAUUGGCAACUGUAGUCUAGCUCACUGCUAGGAGACGUUUAAUUUUUGGUCUUACUGAAUGUGAGGUGGGUGUCACCUCACAUGAAUUUUUAUGUAUUUCUUUAAUUCCUUCCUUAGGACAUGACCUUAGAAGACAAGCUGAGAAUUUGGGGUCAGCAGUGAAAGUGUCACUGCUGAUAAGUUUCUUGAACUUCCACAAGUCUUCUUAUUCAAUGUCUUCUAAUUUCUUGGCUUCACUUAAUUUUUGCAUUGCAAAAUCUAAUGCAACAUUAGUAUAAAUGUAAGAAUCUCAGAGGUGGAUUUAUUUUCUUUGAGUAGAAGUCUUGUGUUGGAGAACUGCUAAUUCAAGGAGGAACUAUUUAGGAGAGUUGCACUCUGCCUGGAAUACUUUCAAGCAACUUAGUAGCUUAAAACAAUACAGAAGUCACCAAGUUGCUUUAAAUGGUAUUUUCUAAAUUUUGGCAGUUAGUCUGCGCUAUUACCAGUUCUUCAGUUAAGGCUUGAUUUCAGGUGACCCUGUUUGGAUAUUCAAAUUUUAGGCAGAUUUGUUCACUACCUGCAAGAAAAAGCCUAAAAGGUGACUUAAUUACUCCAAGUCAAAACACAAAUGCCAAAUUCCCUGGUGAUCUAUAACAUUUCCUUUACAAGUUUCCUUUUGCAAUGUAUAAAUUGGAUAUUCCUGUUAAAUAGAAGAUAAUCAGUGAUGGAUUUUUCUUGGUUCAUAGACUCCUCUUGGACUGACCACAAUGUUACUGUGUUGAGUAGUUUGUUCAAGGGUUUUUGAGGGUUUUUUAUUUCUUCUCAUAGAAUUUAACUAAAAAGGCCAAAUAGAAGUAUGUUAAUAGUCUUUCUGAACAGGGUCGAUUAAAGUAUUUUUCUUGCUGCUUUUUUGCACUGAAAUCUUGUUCUUGCUUUUCUUGUUUUAAGCCAUAUUUUUUGUGAUGUCUGCAGAAACUUUGUGUACAUCUUUCAUCUGCACUCUGGUAAACUCCUUUUAAUGUUUAAUUCUCUAAGUUCCUUAUAAAAAUGUAUAAAUUACAAUAGGUGAGAUCUUGCAUAUUUUUGUGACCAACAUUUAAUUCAGAAAUUCAAAUAUUAAAGUGGCUUAAAGCUUCCUGGGCUUUGUGUGAAACUUAUUUUAAACCACUGUAGAUGUGUCUGUGUGGCAUGUUCUAUUCAUGCAGGAGUUUUUAGAGCCUUGAAAACACAUACCAUCAUUUUUACUUUGACUACUUGCCUGCUGUUUUUUGAUGAGGAAUACGAACCUCUGACAGCCAAAGCCCUAGUAACUUGUUAAACAGUGAUCAUAAAAAAACCACCCAACCAAAUCAAACUUCUUUUCACCAAGCAGUUCUUCACUGUUAAAGCUUUAUGAAAGUGACAAUACAUGGAAAAUGAGCUCGAAGGAGGAGGAAGAAUUCUCUGCAACAGAUCUUCAUGUCUUUCACUAAAAGGAAACUUGUCAAGAUAAUUGCCUCAACUAUUGUACCUUGGAGCAGCAUGUACAAAACUGAUCUUAAGAUGAAAGAGUGAUUAGUAUUUGAAAUAGCUGACAGGGAAAAAAUCAGGAAAUACAUUUUUUUUAAAAUAUAGUUUACAGAAGAUAUGACUAAAGUCCGCUAAGAGGUUAUUCUUACCUAGUAAAAAGGCACAGCUGCUGAAAGGAAAAAGAAUACUUAGAAAAUUGCAAGAUCCAUUUUUGUUCUUAAAGAAACACAUUACUUGUCGUGUCAGCUCCUUUAGUGAUGUGUUUUGACUUUUCUCUAGGAAACUGGCAUUUCUGCAGUAUUCAGAAUUGGGUCAACCUUCUGUUAGCAGAUUUUGGACUUUUGUCUGUAAUUAUUUCUGUCAACAAGUCAUGAUUUUGUGCCUGUUUAACUAGGAAUUAACUCAUAGCCUUUUAACAACAUUUAAGAAAAUUUCAAGACUGUUCUGAAAGGAUGAGGGUAUUCAAAGUAUUUGUAGUAUUUCAGCUUCUUUUUCUACUGGUGCAGCUUGAGAGAGAGAGCAGAGUUCCAGCAGCCUGGUAGUGAUACCCAGAUGCAGCUGGGGAAGGCAUGUUUUACAGUGGGUAUAGGGGCCAAGUAAAUCUCUUGUGGAGUGUUGACUCUGUAAAAGUUGCAUUUCUUCAACAAACCAUGUGCCAUUGGUAUCUAAAUGUGCUGAUGUAGUGUAUACAAGCAGAUACUCUGCCUUUUUGUGAGGUAUGCUAAGUAUAUAUCUGGCAGGAAACACUAAUAUUAUAAUGAGGUUUUUAAAUUGACAGUCUUAUGUUGUGUCAGAACCUUGUUACUCUACAGAUGCGUUUGUAUAAUGAACUUUUCUAUUGGAGAUGAAAUUACAUCUUUGGAGUUUUACACUGACUUUGGUCUUUAUAGAUUAGUGUAAUUUAAAACUACAAACUGUUAUUUUGAUGAAUAAGGUGUAUAAUUAUAAUGACCUUUUUCAGUAACUCAAAUUUUCUGUUAGUGCACUCAAUCACAAAGAAUAUUUUUCAGCAUUCUUUAGAAUGCUACCUCAUCUGUUGUUAAAAUCAGGUAAUUCUUUGCAUUAAAACUGUAUAGAUGAAAA